GACGAACGCUGGCGGCGUGCUUAACACAUGCAAGUCGAACGGAAAGGCCCUGCUUUUGUGGGGUGCUCGAGUGGCGAACGGGUGAGUAACACGUGAGUAACCUGCCCUUGACUUUGGGAUAACUUCAGGAAACUGGGGCUAAUACCGGAUAGGAGCUCCUGCUGCAUGGUGGGGGUUGGAAAGUUUCGGCGGUUGGGGAUGGACUCGCGGCUUAUCAGCUUGUUGGUGGGGUAGUGGCUUACCAAGGCUUUGACGGGUAGCCGGCCUGAGAGGGUGACCGGCCACAUUGGGACUGAGAUACGGCCCAGACUCCUACGGGGGGCAGCAGUGGGAAAUAUUGCACAAUCGGCGGAAGCCUGGUGCAACAACGCCGCGUGCGGGAUGACGGCCUACGGGUUGUAAACCGCUUUCGCCUGUGACGACGCGUGGGUGACGGUAAUCGGUAAAGAAGCACCGGCUAACUACGUG
rnacentral:rRNA from 1 species